GACAGAGGGUGCAAACGUUGUUCGGAAUUACUGGGCGUAAAGCGAGUGUAGGCGGUCUGCUAAGUCGGGUGUGAAAGCCCUGGGCUCAACCCAGGAAGUGCACUCGAAACUGGCAGGCUAGAGUACUGGAGAGGUUGGUGGAAUUCUCGGUGUAGAGGUGAAAUUCGUAGAUAUCGAGAGGAACACCGGUGGCGAAGGCGGCCAACUGGACAGAUACUGACGCUGAGGUGCGAAAGCGUGGGGAGCAAACAGG
rnacentral:rRNA from 1 species